UAGGAAGUUUUAACUGAGGCUAUCAUGGUCCCCAAAUAUUUGUGAGCAGUCAAAAUCAGGAUCGAAUGGUUAACAGUGAGGUAGAGAGUUUGAGGCUGACUUUGUGUGACCCCCCUCCCAGGGAGAAGUCAUUGAGGCAGCCCUGCAAAUGAGCUGUGCCGUCUAUGUUCCUGUGCUGAUGACCCGGAAGCCUGAGCAAAUGGAAGCCUGCUCUCAUUUUUCCCUUUUCCUUCUGUUACUGCUGGCAAUUUGGACACAUGAGAUCAGGGAGUCGCUGGUGUGCUCUGUGUAAGCUGACCCAUCCGGUGGAGCCCCUGCAAUAAGUGAAGAAAGGGAGAGCGAGACACCAUGAAACUCCCGUGGCUUUUGAUUUGGGAGGAGGCUUAGGCUUUGUUUGAGGGUUUCUUUAUAACACACACUGCAUGAAAAGAAAAAAAAAUAAAGGUUGCGUAUGUCUUCUUUCCAUUUAAA